rnacentral:tRNA from 1 species
UGGGGUAUAGCUCAGUGGUAUAGCACAUAUCUAUCAUAUAUAAGGCCCUGGGUUUGAUUCUCAGUGCUACAA